rnacentral:rRNA from 1 species
UGGUAAGGUAAUGGCUUACCAAGGCUAUGACGCUUAACUGGUCUGAGAGGAUGAUCAGUCACACUGGAACUGAGACACGGUCCAGACUCCUACGGGAGGCAGCAGUAGGGAAUAUUGCGCAAUGGGGGAAACCCUGACGCAGCAACGCCGCGUGGAGGAUGACACUUUUCGGAGCGUAAACUCCUUUUCUUAGGGAAGAAUUCUGACGGUACCUAAGGAAUAAGCACCGGCUAACUCCGUGCCAGCAGCCGCGGUAAUACGGAGGGUGCAAGCGUUACUCGGAAUCACUGGGCGUAAAGGGCGCGUAGGCGGAUUAUCAAGUCUCUUGUGAAAUCUAAUGGCUUAACCAUUAAACUGCUUGGGAAACUGAUAGUCUAGAGUGAGGGAGAGGCAGAUGGAAUUGGUGGUGUAGGGGUAAAAUCCGUAGAUAUCACCAAGAAUACCCAUUGCGAAGGCGAUCUGCUGGAACUCAACUGACGCUAAGGCGCGAAAGCGUGGGGAGCAAACAGGAUUAGAUACCCUGGUAGUCCACGCCCUAAACGAUGUACACUAGUUGUUGGGGUGCUAGUCAUCUCAGUAAUGCAGCUAACGCAUUAAGUGUACCGCCUGGGGAGUACGGUCGCAAGAUUAAAACUCAAAGGAAUAGACGGGGACCCGCACAAGCGGUGGAGCAUGUGGUUUAAUUCGAAGAUACGCGAAGAACCUUACCUGGGCUUGAUAUCCUAAGAACCUUUUAGAGAUAAGAGGGUGCUAGCUUGCUAGAACUUAGAGACAGGUGCUGCACGGCUGUCGUCAGCUCGUGUCGUGAGAUGUUGGGUUAAGUCCCGCAACGAGCGCAACCCACGUAUUUAGUUGCUAACGGUUCGGCCGAGCACUCUAAAUAGACUGCCUUCGUAAGGAGGAGGAAGGUGUGGACGACGUCAAGUCAUCAUGGCCCUUAUGCCCAGGGCGACACACGUGCUACAAUGGCAUAUACAAUGAGACGCAAUACCGCGAGGUGGAGCAAAUCUAUAAAAUAUGUCCCAGUUCGGAUUGUUCUCUGCAACUCGAGAGCAUGAAGCCGGAAUCGCUAGUAAUCGUAGAUCAGCCAUGCUACGGUGAAUACGUUCCCGGGUCUUGUACUCACCGCCCGUCACACCAUGGGAGUUGAUUUCACUCGAAGCCGGAAUACUAAACUAGUUACCGUCCACAGUGGAAUCAGCGACUGGGGUGAAGUCGUAACAAGGUAACCGUAGGAGAACCUGCGGUUGGAUCACCUCCUUUCUA